UACGUAGGGUGCGAGCGUUAAUCGGAAUUACUGGGCGUAAAGCGUGCGCAGGUGGCCGCGCAAGUCGAGUGUGAAAUCCCCGAGCUUAACUUGGGAAUUGCGCUCGAAACUACGUGGCUCGAGUGUGGCAGAGGAAGGUGGAAUUCCACGUGUAGCGGUGAAAUGCGUAGAGAUGUGGAGGAACACCGAUGGCGAAGGCAGCCUUCUGGGCCAACACUGACGCUCAUGCACGAAAGCGUGGGGAGCAAACAGG
rnacentral:rRNA from 1 species